rnacentral:guide_RNA from 1 species
AAAUGCACAACCGAGAUUAAAGUAAGAUAGUGAUAUAUACU